AGAAGUGACACGUUGCUGCUGCUCCUCUGUCCAUGGGAUUUCCCAGGCAAGAAUACCAGAGUGGGUUGCCAUUUCCUCCUCCAGGGGAUCUUCACCACUCGGACUGAACCAGCGUCUCCUGAGUCUCCUGAAUUGGAUACAGUGUUUUGUGAACUGUAGUAGAUAUGGAGACAUGGUACUCAGCUCCUUCUUCCAGGAAGGACUUACUGCCCAGCAGCAGGAAGUGUGGUCCCCGGACAGCCUCCAACCAGCGGCUUCUUCAGGGUCAGCCUCAACAGCAGAGAACCACCUUGUCCGAGGUCAUGCUCUUCCUGGAAAGCUCACACUCUGGCUGAGCAAGGUACAGCUGCAUCAACCUGGCAAGGGACACAGGACACAUCAAUGAGCAACCUCCACUGGAUUAACCUGGGCUUUGCUGAGCCUGCCUCGAAGUUCAGCUGCUUUCUCCUCCCAGACCUGCUUCUUCUCCCUUUGGUUCACAAUAAGCAUCUUGAUUCUUAACAAACAUCUCAUACCACAAACUCCUUCUCAUGGUCUGCUUCUGAAGAACCCAGUCUGUGACACAAAGUGUCUUUUUAAGCCUGACCAUUUUCCUAUUGAGUUAUCUGUCUUUUUUUCUUACCAGUUUUGUCAGCAUUUUUUAUUUAAUAUGGAUAC
ensembl:lncRNA